CAUGAAGUCGGAAUUGCUAGUAAUCGCGGAUCAGCAUGCCGCGGUGAAUACGUUCCCGGGCCUUGUACACACCGCCCGUCACACCAUGAGAGUCGGUAACACCCGAAGUCAGUAGCCUAACCGCAAGGAGGGCGCUGCCGAAGGUGGGAUUGAUGAUUAGGGUGAAGUCGUAACAAGGUACC
rnacentral:rRNA from 1 species